AGACUGUGCUUUUUAGGGGAGAUACCAUGAUCACGAAGGUGGUAUUCCCAGGGUGAGGCUUAUCCAUUGCACCCCGGAUGUGCUAACCCCUGCAAUUUCCCCAAAUGUAGGAAACUCGACUGCAUAAUUUGUGGAAUUGGGGGACUGCGUUCGCGCUCUCCCUGA